rnacentral:rRNA from 1 species
UACAGAGGUCUCGAGCGUUAGGCGGAAUCACUGGGCUUAAAGCGUGUGUAGGCGGAUCGGUAAGUACCUUGUGAAAUCCCACAGCUUAACUGUGGAACUGCUUGGUAUACUGCCAGUCUUGAGCCAGCUAGGGGCUACCGGAACAAAUGGUGGAGCGGUGAAAUGCGUAGAUAUCAUUUGGAACACCAAUGGUGAAAACAGGUAGCUGGGGCUGUGCUGACACUGAGACACGAAAGCCAGGGGAGCAAACGGG